AGUUCCUGACGCUUAGAUCAUUAACAUCCUUGGAAUUUCCCAAAAUGACCCGGUGGGAAAGAAAGCCAAGUUUUGACCAGCAAGGAGUAGAGGCUUGGUGAUGAUUCAAGAGUCAAAGAGAAAGAGCUGAGAAACAAAGAGAGUCACCUUAACAAUGGGAGAAACACUGCCCUUUUCGGUGCCAAUCUGAAUGGGAGCCAAGAAAGGCUUUAAAUGAGUCGGAGACCAGAGAAAAAUAGUCAAAAUAUGGUAAACCCAGAUAAGAGCAAAGUAAAAGGCUCUGGCUGUGAAAACCAAGACUAGAAAGUGAUUUUUUCCAAUAAAAAAUUUAAAAAUAGAGUUACUUCUCCU